AUGCUAGCGGUGCGCCUACACAUGCAAGUCGAGCGGUAAAUUUCUUUAGCUUGCUAGAGAAUAUGAGAGCGGCGAACGGGUGAGUAACACGUUGAUAUCUGCCCAUAGGUCAGGGAUAGCCCAGGGAAACCUGGAUUAAUACCGGAUAGUCUCUUCGGAGUAAAAAUUUAUUGCCUAUGGAGGAGUCUGCGGUCUAUCAGCUUGUUGGUGAGGUAAUAGCUCACCAAGGCUAUGACGGAUACCUGGUCUGAGAGGAUGAUCAGGCACAAUGGAACUGAGACACGGUCCAUACUCCUACGGGAGGCAGCAGUGAGGAAUCUUCCACAAUGGACGAAAGUCUGAUGGAGCGACACCGCGUGAAGGAUGAAUGUCUAACGAUUGUAAACUUCUUUUCUGGGGGAGCAUAAUGAGAGUACCCCAGGAAUAAGGGACGGCUAAUUACGUGCCAGCAGCCGCGGUAAUACGUAAGUCCCAAGCGUUACCCGGAAUCAUUGGGUGUAAAGGGUUCGUAGGUGGUUAAAUAAGUUGGACAUGAAAGACCGGAGCUCAACUUCGUGUUUGUGUUCAAAACUGUUUAACUAGAAUUAGGGAGAGGUAAGCGGAAUUCUGAGUGUAGGGGUGCAAUCCGUAGAUACUCAGAGGAACACCAAAAGCGAAGGCAGCUUACUGGAACUGUAUUGACGCUGAGGAACGAAAGCGUGGGUAGCGAAAAGGAUUAGAUACCCUUGUAGUCCACGCCCUAAACGAUGAUAACUAAGUGUUGCGACUCGCUCGCAGUGCUGUAGCUAACGCGAUAAGUUAUCCACCUGAGGAGUACGGUCGCAAGAUUAAAACUCAAAGGAAUAGACGGGGACCCACACAAGCAGUGGAUCACGUGGUUUAAUUCGACAAUAAACGGGGAACCUUACCCAGACUUGACAUCCUAAGAAUCGGCUAGAGAUAGUCGAGUGCCCUUCGGGGAGCGCAGAGACAGGUGCUGCAUGGCUGUCGUCAGCUCGUGUCGUGAGAUGUUGGGUUAAGUCCCGCAACGAGCGCAACCCUUGUCCUUAGUUGCCAUCAUUUAGUUGGGCACUCUAGGGAGACUGCCGGUGUAAUAAACUGGAGGAAGGUGGGGACGACGUCAAGUCAUCAUGGUCCUUAUGUCCAGGGCUACACACGUGCUACAAUGGCCGGUACAGAGGGAAGCAAUACCGCGAGGUGGAGCGAAUCCCAGAAAGCCGGUCUCAGUUCGGAUUGGAGUCUGCAACUCGACUCCAUGAAGUUGGAAUCGCUAGUAAUCGCGUAUCAGCAUAACGCGGUGAAUACGUUCCCGGGCCUUGUACACACCGCCCGUCAAGUCAGCCGAGUUGAUUGCACCCGAAGAAGGUGAGCUAACCGCAAGGAGGCAGCUUUCGAAGAGUGU
rnacentral:rRNA from 1 species